AGAGUGUGCUCAGAGCAAGUUACCUGAAAAAUGGCUUCUCUGUUGACAACACACCAAAUAGGAAUCUAGGAUCAUUGUAUCAAGGGGCACAAAACUAGUGACCUCCCUUUGAGCAACUGUCCUACACAU
ensembl:snoRNA